rnacentral:rRNA from 1 species
AAAACAUCUUUUCUCGUUAGUUUUUGAAGUAUUGGCCUGCCCACUGACUUUGGUGUUGAAGGGCCGCGGUAUUUUGACCGUGCAAAGGUAGCAUAGUCAUUAGUUCUUUAAUUGUGAUCUGGUAUGAAUGGCUUGACGAGGCAUGGGCUGUCUUAAUUUUGAAUUGUUUAUUGAAUUUGGUCUUUGAGUUAAAAUUCUUAGAUGUUUUUAUGGGACGAGAAGACCCUAUAGAGUUUAACAUUUGUUAUGGUCCCUUUCUGUUUGUGAGGGCUCAUUGGGCCGUUUAAUAUGUUUUGUUGGGGUGAUGGGAGGGAUAUAUUUAACCCCUCCUUUUUGUUAUUAUAUUUAUUUAUAUUUACUUGAUCCACUUAUGUUUGAUUGUAAGAUUAAAUUACCUUA